rnacentral:rRNA from 1 species
UACGGAGGGUGCAAGCGUUAAUCGGAAUUACUGGGCGUAAAGCGCACGUAGGUGGUUUUCUAAGUCAGCUGUGAAAUCCCCGGGCUCAACCUGGGACUUGCAGUUGAAACUGGAAAGCUAGAGUAGGGUAGAGGGGUGUGGAAUUCCAGGUGUAGCGGUGAAAUACGUAGAUAUCUGGAGGAACAUCAGUGGCGAAGGCGACACCCUGGCUCUGUUCUGACGCUGAGGCGCGAGAGCGGUGGGGAGCAACCGG